rnacentral:ncRNA from 1 species
UGUCUUGGGCUUCACGCAUGCUACAAUGGCCGGUACAAAGGGCUGCAAUACCGCGAGGUGGAGCGAAUCCCAAAAAGCCGGUCCCAGUUCGGAUUGAGGUCUGCAACUCGACCUCAUGAAGUCGGAGUCGCUAGUAAUCGCAGAUCAGCAACGCUGCGGUGAAUACGUUCCCGGGUCUUGUACACACCGCCCGUCAAGUCAUGAAAGUCGGUAACACCUGAAGCCGGUGGCCCAACCCUUGUGGAGGGAGCCGUCGAAGGUGGGAUUGGUAAUUAGGACUAAGUCGUAACAAGGUAGCCGUACCGGAAGGUGCGGCUGGAUCACCUCCUUU